rnacentral:rRNA from 1 species
GAUGAACGCUGGCGGCGUGCCUAAUACAUGCAAGUCGAGCGAACAGACGAGGAGCUUGCUCCUCUGACGUUAGCGGCGGACGGGUGAGUAACACGUGGAUAACCUACCUAUAAGACUGGGAUAACUUCGGGAAACCGGAGCUAAUACCGGAUAAUAUAUUGAACCGCAUGGUUCAAUAGUGAAAGACGGUUUUGCUGUCACUUAUAGAUGGAUCCGCGCCGCAUUAGCUAGUUGGUAAGGUAACGGCUUACCAAGGCAACGAUGCGUAGCCGACCUGAGAGGGGGGCCGGCGAAAUGGGGACUGGGGGAAGGACCAGACGCGUAUGGGAGGGAGCAGGGAGGAGUAUUGUAAAAUGGGAGGAAGCCUGAGGAAGAAACGCCGAGUGAGGGAUGACGGCUUUUGGGUUGUAAACAGCGUUCGCCUGUGACGAAGCGGGAGUGACGGUAAUGGGUAAAGAAGCAACGGCUAACUACGUG